AGUCGACGAUUAAGCACCUUCGGGUGUGUAUAGAGUGGCGAACGGGUGAGUAACACGUGACCAACCUGCCUCUUACAUUGGGACAACCAAAAGAAAUUCUGGCUAAUACCAAAUACUCCGCACAUAUCACAUGAUGUAUGCGGGAAGGCUUUUGCGGUAAGAGAUGGGGUCGCGGCCCAUUAGGUAGACGGCGGGGUAGAAGCCCACCGUGCCGAUGAUGGGUAGCCGGGUUGAGAGACCGACCGGCCACAUUGGGACUGAGAUACGGCCCAGACUCCUACGGGAGGCAGCAGUGGGGAAUAUUGCGCAAUGGGGGAAACCCUGACGCAGCAACGCCGCGUGCGGGAUGAAGGCCUUCGGGUUGUAAACCGCUUUCAGCAGGGAAGACAUCGACGGUACCUGCAGAAGAAGCCCCGGCUAACUACGUGCCAGCAGCCGCGGUAAUACGUAGGGGGCGAGCGUUAUCCGGAUUCAUUGGGCGUAAAGCGCGCGCAGGCGGUUGCUCAAGCGGAACCUCUAAUCUCGGGGCUUAACCUCGAGCCGGGUUCCGAACUGGACGACUCGAGUGCGGUAGAGGCAGAUGGAAUUCCCGGUGUAGCGGUGGAAUGCGCAGAUAUCGGGAAGAACACCAACGGCGAAGGCAGUCUGCUGGGCCGUCACUGACGCUGAGGCGCGAAAGCUGGGGGAGCGAACAGGAUUAGAUACCCUGGGAGUCCCAGCCGUAAACGAUGAGCGCUGGGUGUGGGAGAUUACAUCUUCCGUGCCGAAGCUAACGCAUUAAGCGCUCCGCCUGGGGAGUACGGCCGCAAGGCUAAAACUCNAAGGAAUUGACGGGGGCCCGCACA
rnacentral:rRNA from 1 species